rnacentral:tRNA from 1 species
AUUUUUUGUUCUCAUUGUGAUAAAAAAAUUGCCGGGAUAGCUCAGU